GGAUGUGAGGGCGAUCUGGGUUGUGACAUCUGUCACCCCGUUGAUCACCAGGGUUGAUUCAGCUGAUCUGGCUGGCGAAGUGGGUGUCCCUUUCCACCCUCGCCGCUCCCAUAUGUGUCCCUCUAGAGCUGAGCACUGGGUCCAAAAGGACGACCUUCCCCAUGGAGGAGGACUGUUCUUCCCGGGGUAUAGAAGUAGCUGCCUUCCCCCUGCUUAGAACCGCCAGAUAAGCUCUCAAGGUCAAUUUGUAGGAAAACGUAAGGUAGUCAAGCCUCCAAGGCUCUAGACACAUCCAAAUGAGGCACUGUGUGUGGCAGUCUGCUGCCUUGCUCU
rnacentral:snRNA from 1 species